CAAAGUAUAGCUUAAUUAAAAGCGCCCGGCCUACACCCGGAAGAUCUCAAAUAAACUGAUUGCUUUGA
rnacentral:tRNA from 1 species